GACGAACGCUGGCGGCGUGCUUAACACAUGCAAGUGGAGCGACGAACCAGGCUUCGGCCUGGGGCAGAGCCGCGAACGGGUGAGUAACACGUGGGUAACCUGCCCUGAUGAUCGGGACAACCCGGGGAAACCCGGGCUAAUACCGAAUGUGCCCGCGAGCCGCAAGGCUUGCGAGGAAAGGAAGCUUCGGCCUCCGCAUCGGGAUGGGCCCGCGGCCCAUUAGCUUGUUGGUGGGUAACGGCCUACCAAGGCAGCAAUGGGUAGCUGGUCUGAGAGGACGAUCAGCCACACUGGGACUGAGACACGGGCCCAGACUCCUACGGGAGGCAGCAGUGGGGAAUAUUGGACAAUGGGCGCAAGCCUGAUCCAGCCAUGCCGCGUGAGUGAUGAAGG
rnacentral:rRNA from 1 species